CAGCAAACAAGGGGGCAGUGUUUUCAGGACAAGUGGGAAAAGCAUGUAAUCCUGCAUUUCUGAAAUAUCUUCAGUUGAAUUCAGUAAUGUAAAAAGUGUUUGCUUCAACAUGUUAAAGGUGUUCUGCUGUGAGGCUGGUGGUUCACAUCCUAUUGAGUGCCAUCACAAGCCCCUUCUGGCAACUCCUAAACACUUGAGAGAGCUCUGGGAAAAUGCCUGCGACCCUGUAUGCAGGAUAAGCGGUUGACGAUGGAUGGAUGGAUGGAUGGAUUUUGCAGAUGCUCUUUUGCCCCACAGCCUGCAAUUGAUUGAUUGAGAAAGUAUGGGGUUAGAUAUCCAUUACAUUACAAGUCAGAUUGCUACACAUUUUAUUCCAAAUUCAGAAAGAAUUUCUGGGUCUUUUUCUACCCUGACACCGAUUUUGGUUCUUAAACAAAAUAUAUGCUGAUACCACCCGACCAGUCCGACUUGAUAUUGGGAUAAAAAAGGCAUUAUUCUGUAACAGGAAUUGCCUGUGCACUAAGUAUGUGUCUGCUCACCAUGGCUGAAUGAAUGUGAUAUUUGAAACACUGAAUUGUACCUACCUAUUGUACCUUACAGUGCAAAGAAUCAGUACUUCUAUAGACACGAUGUUAUGUUAUGUUAUCUUUUAUUAAUUUAUUCUAAUGCAAUCACAUUUCCUUUUAUUCAACUUCUCAAAAGAAUCUAAAAGUUAUGACCCUUCACCUCAUUGAACUUUACCUACAAUUAACCUUUAACUUAAUGGACCCUCCAAAUUAAGUGAACUUUGCUAUAAAGGUGUAAUCUAACAAGACUGCAUAUGCCAUUUCAGUGAUGCUACAAGAAGACCUCAUUAUUAGAAUUUUUUUCUCAUUUAUCAUCUCAUCAUUACAAAAUCCUGCUUUGUUUUUAUCUAUCGAGGUUUGUGCAAACAGUGAUCACUUGUUCUGUGUCAUCUCUGUUGCAAAAUGUGUACAAAUGUACAACAUGUACUGUAUACAUAAAAUUAGGAUAUCUUGGACCUUAGUUGAGUAUAACCAGUGUUUGAAACCAAAAUAUGUUUCACCAGUAAGUGUCAUGGUUUGGUUUCAGUGUUACUGAAUCACAAAAGAAUAGCUUUUAUUGUGAGCUGCCACUUUACCACUUUACUAUACCAGUUACAGUAAUUUAUCCAUGGCCGUGAAAUGAUCGCUUGACUGUGCUGUACAUUGCAGAUGUGUAUCUCUGUAGAAAUGCAGUUAGAAGCAUGCAUUUCUCCCUUUUUAGUGUUAUGUGUUGUCUCCUGUUUUCCUCCAAAGGAAGAUAACUGUUUUCACAUGAUCACCACCAAUGUGGAAUCAUACAUCAAUAUAACACAUACUCCCUCCUCAUCUCCCAGCCUGUGCCUUUGUUGUUUCAGCACUUCUACAUAACACCUUAUUCCUAGUGUUUUGCUCUAUGUGCUAUAAAUACACCAUGUCCUUGAGGCAAAAACCUGGCAUCUGUCCCAAAACAGGUUUGUUAACAUAUUUCAUAGGCCAUCUGGAUGCAGUGAGGUUCUCUCUAUGAUACAUUAGGUUGUAGUUGUGUAAAGUGUAUGUGCAGUUCGCCGUUAUGCCUGCACCACCGUAACAUAAUGUUGUAUAAAAGUGCUGAAACAAUUAGGUGAGUUAUACUGACGACAAUAUUGAUAAUCCAUUAAGUUAUUUAUGCUGGUUCCAGCUACUUAAAUGUGAGAAUGUGCAGCUUUUCUCUAUUUUUUUUAUUGAAUUGUAAAUCAAAUACUUUUUGUUUGAAGACAGAUGUCACCUUGGGCUCUCAGUGCUUACUGUAUGAUGGGGAUCUUCUGAAUAAGACUUAAGGUGUAUCCUGAAUAAACUAAAAAUAAUUGAAUAAACUGAAAAAACAUUGAAA